rnacentral:rRNA from 1 species
GACGAACCGAGCGAACGUUGUUCGGAAUCACUGGGCUUAAAGGGCGCGUAGGCGGCCGCCUAAGUCAGACGUGAAAUCCCUCGGCUCAACCGGGGAACUGCGUCUGAUACUGGGUGGCUUGAAUCCGGGAGAGGGAUGCGGAAUUCCAGGUGUAGCGGUGAAAUGCGUAGAUAUCUGGAGGAACACCGGUGGCGAAGGCGGCAUCCUGGACCGGUAUUGACGCUGAGGCGCGAAAGCCAGGGGAGCAAACGGG